rnacentral:misc_RNA from 1 species
UUUCAACCUUUUCUAUUCUAUUCAUCAUUUCCUUAUGCAUUUCCAAGGCAGAUACUUUCCCCCCCUAUUCUAAUCUGUGCUGUGAUUUCUCUCUCGACGAAUAUAUUAUUUUCAAUGAUGUUCUAUCGUUGUUACCGUUUUGCUGCUUAGAUCUACUUACAUGCAGAGGAUUGGGGCUUUUGACACAAAUUGAUCAUGUGUUUAUUUGCUAAUUCUCUUCUGGAUAACCAUUGUAUAAGCUGUUCGUAUGGAAUUUUUG